rnacentral:lncRNA from 10 species
GCAGUUUGUCUGACUUAAGUCUGCACUUUUUUUUUUUUUUUUUUUUGAGACAGAGUCUCGCUCUUUCGCCCAGGCCGGAGUGCAGUGGCGCGAUCUCGGCUCACUGCAAGCUCCACCUCCCGGGUUCACACCAUUCUCCUGCCUCAGGCUCCCGACUAGCUGGGACUACAGGCGCCCGCCACCGUGCCACGCUCAUUUUUUGUAUUUGUAAUAGAGACAGGGUUUCACCGUGUUAGCCAGGAUGGUCUCGAUUUCCUGACCUCGUGAUCCGCCCGCCUCGGCCUCCCAAAGUGCUGGGAUUACAGGCGUGAGCCACCGCGCCCGGCCUUAAGUCUGCACUUGAAAAAGUCAUUCUUUAACUUUUCUGCUCAAGGUUGGAGUGCAAUGGGGUGAUCUCAGCUCACUACAACCUCUGCCUCCCGGGCUCAAGCGAUUCUCCCACCCUCUCAGCCUCCUGAGUAGCUGGGACCACAGGU